rnacentral:rRNA from 1 species
CGGAUAGAGCCAGCGAAGUCGCUUGUAUUCAGCCAAAGACUCGAGGCUGCCUGUUGUCGUGUUUUUAAUCGAGCACGGCGGCUUGUCUGCUUCGUUUCGAGGUGCAUUUGCGGGCGUUUGCGCUGAGACUUGCGGAGCAGCUUCUGGAACAGCGUCUAGAGGCUUCCCUCUGGGUUGUACCUGGUCGUUGGUACAGAUGUUUGCUCUGCUCGUACCCGGGCCAGGCCUACGGACUCUGGCCGCGUCGUUGUUGCUUGGCAAUGGUAUCGCAUGCGAUGCCUAGUCUGGUGGCGGCGGUUCGGUUAGUUGUCCCCUGGUUCGCUCUCGGUGUAGAAGCUGGUCAUCUCUCCGACCCGUCUUGAAACACGGACCAAGGAGUUUAGCGUAUGCGCGAGCCAUUGGGCGUCAAACCCACAGGCAGAAUGAAAGUAAAGGUCCAGUCGCUGGACUGACAUGCGAGCGCCGUGGCUUCGGCCCUGGUGUGCAGCAUGGUCCCGUUGUAGUCGCUUGCGACGCAGCGGAGACAGAGCGUAUGCGCUGAG